UCGUGCAGUCGUGCUCCUCGGCUCCUCGCCAUUCCGGCUGCUGGACGCUUCGAAGGGGGAGACCAGCAGCAACUGCAGGGGUCUGCACUCUGCUGUCGAAGCGGAAGCACCGAAAGCAGAUCGUCCAAUCGUCUCUCGCAUCUGAAUCCGAUCCAGGCGAAGCGUCGCGAGUCCGGGUUCAAGUUUACUUAGUCACUUGGUGACCACAAACAAGUAGCUGCAGCCUGCAAUUGCAGUAAUGAAUGCUUUGAUGCGACCUGCUUCAGAGCUAUCUUGGCGAUAUUAAAUUAUCUACGCUUAGCUGUCAGAAUGGUGUACUCAGUACUAUCAAAUGUGGGAAACUGGGAAUCAUGAUGUCAUUGCAUAUUGGGCGGCUUUCCCAAGAUGUUCGGCAAAGUUAUCUUGAACAUCUGUUCCAGAGGUUUGGUCGUUGCACUGUGAACCUGAAAGAUGGAUAUGGGUUUGCUGUGUAUGAUUCUGAUGAUGAUGCAACUCGAGCCAUGAGGGCCCUGCAUGGGAAAUAUGUUUGUGGGGAGCGCAUUACUGUUAAUUGGUCAAAGCAGCAGCCCAGAUUUUCUCAGAGUUUCAGGAGAAGUUCGAGAUUUGUUGAAUUGUCUCGCGGAAGGAACUUCAGAGAUGCUAGGGACAACAUUAGGUUCAGGGAUCCUCUAGCUCGGAAUAAUCAACCAGCGAAUCAUGAUCAGAGUCAUGAUUCUGAUGCUGUGCUCAAAAAGGAAUCUGGUAAAUUUGCUGAGAUUGUCAAUGAUGCUGAAGAAAACAUUGGUGAUGAUCCAGGGGAGGUGAAGAGGGACGAAGGUGGUACAAAUGAUGAAGGUCCAGGGGAGGUGAAAACUGACGAUGGUGGUACAGCUGAUGCAGAUAUAAUCGAGCAUGAUAGAUGGGCUGGGAAAGGUACCCCUGGUGGAGAUGGUGAUGAUUUUGACCGCUAUGAGCCUUAUCAUGGAUAUGAAAGGCAAGAAGAAACGGAAAAUGUGAUUAAAGCAAGUUCUUAUGAUUCUCGUGAACACAAACAUUUUUCAGAGAAGUGGCAAGAGCACUCUGACAAGCAUGUUGACAUAAGCCAUGAUAAAUCAAGAUCUCCUCCAACCUGUUACAGUUGUGGUGUUGCUGGCCAUAUUGCACGUAAUUGCCCUCGUGGAAUAGAUGAUAACUUCAUACCAAGGAGAGAUGGACUGAACUUUAAGGAAAAAUGGCAGCUGAGGCAGAGAAGAUUUGGGUCACCCUCGAGGAGGCGACCAGAAUUUCCUAUUCAUCCAUUGGACCAAACAAAUCAUAAAGUUCAAGAUGGUAGGAAGCCAUUUGCUGAGAGGAAUAUGCAAAUGCAUUGGCCCAGAGACAGCAGGAGACAUGCCCACUACAGUGAAAACAUGCCACAAACAAACAAGGAAGGGCGCAAGAGAAGCAGAUCUGAAAGGUCACGGGGGUCAUCGCCCUCUUCAGAACCUUCAAGGCGCUCUAACCAUGCUAAUCUUAAGAGAUCUCAUUCCAACAGGACUUCCUCAGAUUCAAGAUCUAAAUCCCCCCGAUCCCGACCUCGAUUUAAAGCACAUUCGCCAACUUAUUCUGCACAUUCUAGUUCAAAAUCAUCUCAACCAGCUCAGCAUGAAGGAUCAAGGUCAAAUAUCAACCAUCCUGUUCCAUUUUCAGUAUCUGCUUCACCACAGCACAAGUCAUCUCCUGAUAUAGAGAACAAAAAUCUAGUUGGUCUGAUGAAUUCUCAAUUGGAGGACAACUUGGAGUUCAGGACAAGAUCUGAAGUAAAAAAUCUGGAUGAUAACAAGCAAGAAGGAAAUGGUCCGGUUUUGAAAAGCAAGGUCCUGAAUGGAGGAACACUUGUUCGUAACAAGAAUGCAAAUGUUACUGGUUACACAGGGUCUGACUUCGAUAAGAACUUUGUUGAUGAUAAUGCUGCCAAUAGAGUGCAAAGCCAGAAUGCUAAAUUUGAGGACUCUUUGUCAGUGAAACCAAAGCAGGAUGUUCUGGCCAAAAAUGGGAGAAGCAAGUCUUUGAAGCUAACAACUAACGAAGUGAUCUCAGCUCUGAAGCACUAUGGGGUUGAGGCACAAGAGGGAGAUUCAUCAGAUCAAUCUGUGGAGAAGUACUUUGGUGCUGCACGCCUGUGGCCUUGGGAAAUCAUUUACUAUCGCAGGCGUAAGAAAGGUCCAAUAUCUACUGAGAAUUAUGCUAAGCGACUUGAGCAGAACAAAGAAUUUGGUAUUGUGGAUCAGUAUGUCAGAAGCAGCAGUGGUUGGUGGGAGUGUCAUUAAAGGAAGUCUAGUUGCUUCCAAGGCUUUACAUGAAUAGCCAUUUGCAUCCUGAGAGUCCAUUUUGAGGAUAACAAGGUUUGUGUGCUCCUGUUAGGUUUCAUUUCUGUCUUGCAUUAGGGCAUCUUUGGAUGUGAUUAGGCCAAAUCUCUUCAGAUUGGAAGGGAAAAUGAACAAAUUUUCCCUGCCAACCUGGGUGAGCUGAGUGUAAAACCUACCUAUCCAAACAAACAACAUUUUAUUUUCAUUCCCAGUAUUAGUGUUAUAUGAACUACUAGUAUUAGGUGUUGUCAACUUUAGUAGAGCCCUUAACACAAGAACCACAAGUAAUUGGUGUUCCCAUUGCUAUGAUUCUGAUAGGUAAAAGUAUAUGCUUAAAGGCUUCAUGUUGGAAAAUGGUAAUACACUGUGUUUCUAUCAGUGGUUUAUGAUCUUGUCACAUGUAGAUGUUGGUACCAUUUGUCCAUCUCAUGUGUCUUUUGAGUUGCAAUGUUUGAAGGUUCAAUCCCAGUAGGUAUAUUUGGUGAUCAACAGGCUCAUCAGGGAUGUUUUAUGAUUUAGAAGAGAGGAACCAGCCUCAUUGUUGCUUCAUCCGUGAGGAUAAUGGAUAUUAGUCCACCAGAAGUAAUAUUUAUAAGCAGCUACCUUCAUGUAUGAUGUUGGCACAUGCAGCGUAUUCAUAUUUGUUGUCGAGCACAUUGAUGGGAGAUACUACCAGGGAGGCCCUUCUGCUUCCUGGCUUCUACUUCUGAUGGUUAUCUGGGGUUGAGGUGUUAGCAUAAAAAUGGCACUGUCGUGGGUGGAGAUUAUCAGUUAUCAUUGUUUGGGUACAUCUGCACUGUUAGGAUCCAUCGUAUGAAAUUCUGUGUAUAAUCAGUGAGGCGUGAUACAACAUCUUGUUGCUGGAUUGCUACAGUGGGUGCUACCCCGGGGGUGAUGCAUUUGACUGCUCUGCAGGAUGUUCUUCCUUAAGUCACAGAACAUUUGGAUGGAAGUGAACUUAAUAUUGUGCAUCCUCUUUCAACCUUGAUUCUUGAGUUGUCAUUAUCUUGUUCCUUCCUGAGUUGUGAAGCUCAAUUGGAACCAGUCAGUUACAAGGUAUACAAAGAAGUUUUGCAUCUUCUUUUUGGUUUAAAAAGUCCUGAGUUGUGAAGCUCAAUUGGAACCACUCAGCUACAAGUUGACCAAGGGUGCAGCGGCAAUUAAGGUCUCGCCCCGCGUCGCGAUGCUCGCAAUAUUCAGACGGAAGGAAGCGUGUGUUGGGUUCAUGGAGGGUGGCGUCGGGGAAUUAAUUGGCCUAUUCAUUGCGUCGCGUCAUGCAAUGCAAGGCCAUUACUUCCUUCCUUCCUUGCUGCUGUAGCAGUAGUGCUCUGAGAAAUGCUAACAGCACCGCGCUACUGUACUGUUCGUCGCUUUUUCUACUUGUACUCGACAAGGAUACACCACCGUCUCCGAAGAAAAUAUUAUGUUGCAGAUCAGCUUGCAUGGAGCUCAAAUGAUUGUCGUUUAUCGUAUCAAUCACGACACAGACGUGAACAUUGAAAAACAAAACUUUUUCCAGUGUAUCCGUGAUAUAUACCACAGUAGCACCGUCGCACGCAGUCUCGGCAGACGGAUGAAAUGAAAUGAAAAUAUCACGGUUACACUGGAGCAGUUCUUUUCAACUUAACGAUGGAAUUAAAGCUACUAGUACUAAUGGUAA